rnacentral:rRNA from 1 species
GUAGGGGGCAAGCGUUAUCCGGAUUUACUGGGUGUAAAGGGAGCGUAGACGGCAUGGCAAGCCAGAUGUGAAAGCCCGGGGCUCAACCCCGGGACUGCAUUUGGAACUGUCAGGCUAGAGUGUCGGAGAGGAAAGCGGAAUUCCUAGUGUAGCGGUGAAAUGCGUAGAUAUUAGGGGGAACACCGGUGGCGAAGGCGGCCAACUGGGCUUUAACUGACGCUGAGGCUCGAAAGUGUGGGGAGCAAACAGGAUUAGAUACCCUGGUAGUCCACGCCGUAAACGAUGGAUACUAGGUGUAGGAGGUAUCGACCCCUCCUGUGCCGGAGUUAACGCAAUAAGUAUCCCGCCUGGGAAGU